CACGGACUAUCGCUAACCUCUAUCACUUCUAGUUCCAGCAUCUUGUCCACUUCGGUCCAGAGCACUUCCUGCAUCGCGGGGGAUUGAGGGUAGUGUCGAUCUUUAAAAGGCUCCGCGCCCUCUACCAACUGGAUCCCAUGCUCCUCUACCGUCGUUGACCUCAAUCCGGCAUCUUCGUAAGUCAGGAACUCCUUCUUCACCUCGUCCAGUUCUUCAGCUUCCUUCUCUUCCAGGUCCCACGCGUCCACAUGUACGUUCUCCUGGUCGUCUUCGGCAUAUUGGCUGAUCUGUGACAUCUGGACUUCGGAUAUUUUGCCAUCGCUGGUCGAACUUGGAUUCGCUCCGAGGACUGUCGGAGCCACUGCGAACGACCUCCAAAAAUCGAUCCCCAAGUACAUGACUUACUCCAAGUAUGGGCAGAUGUAAAAGAGAAUUUCCUUGCUGAUUCCUUUGUACUCCACCGGGAUUCUCACUUUGCCGAUCGCUUUGGGUCACGUCCUGACCCACGCCUGACUGCUUCAACACUCCUUGCGAGUGUGUCUCCUUUGCCGGAAGCGUGCACGGUCCUUCUGGAGUCUACUGCUGACACCUCGCAUUCCAUUCAUCUGGUGUCCGUCAAAGAUCC
rnacentral:lncRNA from 1 species